rnacentral:rRNA from 1 species
CCUACGGGAGGCAGCAGUGAGGAAUAUUGGUCAAUGGACGAGAGUCUGAACCAGCCAAGUAGCGUGAAGGAUGACUGCCCUAUGGGUUGUAAACUUCUUUUAUAUGGGAAUAAAAUGUUCCACGUGUGGGAUUUUGUAUGUACCAUAUGAAUAAGGAUCGGCUAACUCCGUGCCAGCAGCCGCGGUAAUACGGAGGAUCCGAGCGUUAUCCGGAUUUAUUGGGUUUAAAGGGAGCGUAGGUGGAUUGUUAAGUCAGUUGUGAAAGUUCGCGGCUCAACCGUAAAAUUGCAGUUGAAACUGGCAGUCUUGAGUACAGUAAAGGUAGGCGGAAUUCGUGGUGUAGCGGUGAAAUGCUUAGAUAUCACGAAGAACUCCGAUUGCGAAGGCAGUUCACUGGACUGCAACUGACGCUGAGGCUCGAAGGUGUGGGUAUCAAACAGGAUUAGAUACCCGAGUAGUC